AUGAGUGUGCAGGUCAUCCUGGCUAGGGCAUGGCAACAGUCUCACAGAAUCACUGGGGUCCACUUUCUAGUUCUCUUCUUCCUCCAUCUUUGCUUUUCAAAGGCCAAUGAGUACGUCCGUCUUAAAGUCCAGUUUCCCUUUACUUUUUUUCUAGAUCUGGUAACCUCUACCUUUCAAAUCACUCUUCUGCUCUUCGUUUGUAACAAUUUUCCCCUGCUCCUUAUCCAGAAGCUUCCUAUUCCUCAGCAGUGUGCCAUCUUUACACUCUACACUGACUCCCUCAUGUGCUUCUUCUGUCCCUUCUACAGAUUUGGGCAGUUAGGGUUCACCACACAAAAGCAGACAGAGCUCUGAAUACACCCUUCUUCCCUUACGCUCCUAUAACAUCUCUCUGUACUGUCACUGAAGGCCUCUGUGAUCUAGCGCUCAUCUAAUUUCCAGUUGUUUUCAUCACAACUAUCUAAUUAUGUUUGCAACCCUGCAUCACAGAUGAAUUAUUUACUGGUUUUCAAUGGAUCCUAGAUGUAUACAUCUUCAUGCCAUCAAUCAUAUUUUCUUUUCCCUUCUGCCUUAAAGUUCUCCUACCUUUUAUGAUUCCCCAGUAGCCCCACCUGCCCCACCAGACCACCUCCACAAGAAAGAGCUAUUCCUCAAUGCUCAGCUUGAAUCCCACACCUAUCCUGAAAUCUCCAGAGACUGUACUACAAUUAGUUAGAAUAAAGGCCCAAUUUGCCAAUUUUCUGAUGUAUUCCAUUUUGUUUUCUUUCUGGUAUUAGAGACUGCCUCCUCAAAAUAUGGUGAUAUGCAGGCACAUCACUCGUCAUCCAUGCAAGUUUGCCAAGGGCAGAAUUGAUACCUUGAUCACUCUCAAAUAGGGACCUACAACUGUGCCUUGGUUUGUCCCUGUGUCAAUUAUUUACUUAUUCAUUUGUCUACAUGGAAUUUUCUGAACCAUCUCAGCCUUCCAUGAAUGCACAGUGUAUCGGGAGAAAGCAGAUACAUUAACAGGUAAUUACCGGGCUAUUUGGUAAAUGCAAAGAGAGUGUUUUGCACUGAGCAAUAUAGUAGACGGAGAGUGGAUGUCCAGCUCAGGAUAAAGAUAAAAACAGUGUCUGGGGAAUCGUUCUUUAGGAAGUAUCAUGUGAGAUGAGAAAAAAAAAGCCCAAAGGAGGCAUGCAGGAAGGGGCCCAGAGGGAAGUAUCCAGUCAGAAAGGACAGCCUGGACAAAGGUUCUAAGGCAGGAAACAGCUAUAUGAUGUACACAGGAGGUAAAAACAAGCAAAUCUAUAGAGAAUGAAGCUUCAGAGGGGCGGCUACUCAGGAAGUGGGCACGUAAAAUUUACAAGUGUAAAGAAGCAAAAGACUUCUUGCAAACAAAAUUGUUUGAUAAGCCAACAUAAACACUAACAAUAUUAAAAAAUAAAUGAUGAAUGAUCUAUAAUGCUAACAUUCAAAAGAUCGAUUUAAUGUACUGAUACUUUAUACUUUCCUGGGUCGGGAAGAUCCCCUGAAGGACAGUAUGGCAAUCCACUCCAGUAUUUUUGCCUGGAGAAUCCCAUGGACAGAGGNNCUGGUAGGCUACAGUCCUGAGGGUCACAAAGAGUCAGACACGACUGAAGCAACUUAGCAUGCGCACAUGCACUUUACACCUAUCUGAUUGUUUUUCCCUUUUGAUUCUGCUACUUGACACAGUUCCAAGAGUGGAACUGUGGCUUCUUCUCUUGGGCAGCUGAGGCCUACUUGUUGUACAUGGUUAAGAAUCAUUUAACCAACCAUUAUUUCAAAUAAAAUAGUCUAGCAACUGUACCAGAGUGAAUUAAGUCCCGCCAAAAUUCAUGCCCACCUGGACCUUAGAAUGUGAUUCUAUCUGGUCUUUUCAGAUGAAAUCAGCUAAGAUGAGCUCAUACUGGAGCUUCCAUGGUGGUAAGGAAUUGGCCUACCAAUGCAGGAGAUGAAAGUUUGAUCCCUGGGUCAGGAAGAUCCCCUGGAGAGGAAAAUGGCAAACUACUCCAGUAUUCUUCCCUGGGAAAUUCCAUAAAUAGUGGAGUCUGGCAGGUUACCUGUCCAUGGGGUCACAAAAGAGUCAGACAUGACUUAGUGACCGAGCAUGCUUGCAUUUACACACGAGCUCAUGCUGGAUUGGAACUGACCCCAAAUCCAUCUGGUGUCCUUACAAAGAGAAAAUUUGAAGGCAGAGAUGAACACAGAGAGAAAGAGAAGAUAGCCAUGUGAAGAUGGAAGCAGAAACUGGGGUGAUGCAGCCACAAGCAAAGAAAUGCCAAGGAUUUCCAAUGACUACCAGAAGAUAGGAAGCAAUGAGAGAACUCUACCUGGGAGUGUUCAGAGAAACCAUGACCCUGAUGACACCUUGAUUUCAGACUUGUAGCUUACAGAACUCUGAAACAGCAGAUUUUUAUUGUUUUAGGCCACCCAGUUUGUGGUCAUUUAUUGCAGUAGUCCUAGGAAACUUAUAUAACAAUCUAAAUAGAUGAGACCUACACACUCUUUCUUAGUUNNNNNNNNNNNNNNNNNNNNNNNNNNNNNNNNNNNNNNNNNNNNNNNNNNNNNNNNNNNNNNNNNNNNNNNNNNNNNNNNNNNNNNNNNNNNNNNNNNNNNNNNNNNNNNNNNNNNNNNNNNNNNNNNNNNNNNNNNNNNNNCUAAAAUUUGCUAAAUGAAUCUCAUUUAAUUUUAAACAAAUUUGAACUUCCUCAUAUUUUCGAUGUAUAAAACUUUUAAGUUCCUUGUAUUGUUGUAUCUUUCUCAUAUAAAGUCACUCCAGGUUCAAAGCAUAUUUGUUAAAUAUUUUCGAAAGUACUAUUUCCCAAGGCAUAUUCUUUACCUAAUCAAGGAAUGCUACUUAUGUAGGAAAAACAUCCAAGUCUGCAAACAGGUAUGAUAUCCAUUUUACUAGUGUGUAAGCUUUGAUAAAGAUGAAGGCUCUAGGGUUCCGACAUGUCUUGGAAGGGUAUCUCAAUACUGAGUUGGCUUUNNNNNNNNNNNNNAGACUGUUAUUACUCCUCUUUCUGAUAAUGAUAGGCAGCCACUGAGUUCUACUUAAAGGGCUAACCAUGUGUAUUUACAGGAAGAUUUGCAAUGACUAUACUCCCCCUUAGAUGUCUCUGCCCAGACUUGAGAGUGCCACUUAAGCAUUCAUUUUGUUUGACAAAGAUGGGAAGCCAUUUGUCGGGAGGUGAGAGAAAGGGUGGCAUGGCACUUGAAGCUGCAAUAACAUCAAUAAUUUGUGGGAUCUCAAGACUAUUUAUCUCUAAUGUCCAAACCUUGUGCACAGAUGCCUGACUUUCCCAAUUGUGGUCAAUGUCAAGACACAGAUAAGCGUAUGCACUCAAUCAAAGGAAGGAAGGAAGCUGCUGAUAGACAAGGGCACACAUAAAGAAUAUGAGCAGGUUAAUGAUGUUUUCCUCAAUGAGGGGAAAUUACCAGUUCUUUAUACCGAUGCUUGCAUUUGACAGGGGGACCUUGAUUCACUGCUGCUGAUAAAUUGCUUGGUAGCAUGAGUACUUCUGUGCUCAGACCCCGACGUCUGUUGGAGAUACAGUUUUUGUUCUUUCUCCUGGUAAGCUAAGGUACAAAUUCCCCCAGCAACUUCAGCCGUGUAAAGCAUCAGUGUCACCCUGAGGACAGUAUUGUGUGCACAGAAGAGCAAUGAGAUAUACUUGUUGAAUUACAAAUUUGGGCUUAUGCAUAUAAUGCUUUGAUUAAGAUUCAUUUUAACCUGUUUAUAAAACAGUUCUUUAUCCAUGACUAUAUUAUAGGUAAAUAAGGAAGAAUUUGAUAAAAAAGAAUUGGGUAACAAGACUUGGUUAUAACAACUGGCUACUGGGCGUAUGUCUAACAGGCGAUGUAUAUAUAAACUUAAAAAUUAUUUCUUAUAUAACAUUCAAUAGUUUUUAUGUCUAUUUAUUUGAAUUAAAGAUAUUUUAUUCAUUAAAUCAUUAUUGAGAACUUACUAUGUCUUAGGCACAGCUGAAGAUCUGGGNNNNNNNNNNNUGUUGAAGGAAUAGUAGAAGAAUUUGACUAGUUCAUUAAUUCAUUUCUAUAUUCACUCAUCCAUACAUUCACUCAUGAACAUUCUCAAGAGUACACAUCCUCUGCAAAGCAUUCUGUUAAGAGUUAUUACUUAUCUUCAUGGAAACUCCCCAUUCUAGUACAGAAGGUGGAUAAAAAAGUAAUUGCUUGAAAUGCAAUGUGUGUUAUACAUAUAUACUUAUACAUGUAUUAUAUAUUGUACAUACUUAUAUAUAUAAUACAUGUUGCAUAUAUUAUAUGUGUUGCAUAUAUAUAUAUAUAUAUACAUAUGAAUACA
ensembl:lncRNA